rnacentral:misc_RNA from 1 species
AAGUCGUAACAAGGUUUCCGUAGGUGAACCUGCGGAAGGAUCAUUAAUGAAGAAGCCUCUUCAAAUACACCCUUGUGAACUGUCGUCUUCGGACGCUAUUACAAACUCUUAUGUCGUUAACGAAUGUCAAUGUUAUUCAUAACAAAGCAUAACUUUUAGCAACGGAUCUCUUGGCUCUC